rnacentral:rRNA from 1 species
AGAGCUCAAAUUUAAAAUCUGGCAGUCUUUUUGGCUGUCCGAGUUGUAAAUUAGAGAAGUGCUAUCCGCGCCAGCCUGUGCAUAAGUCUCUUGGAAAAGGGCAUCAUAGAGGGUGACAAUCCCGUCUUUGGCACAGAUAACUGGGGCUCUUGUGAUACGCUCUCGAUGAGUCGAGUUGUUUGGGAAUGCAGCUCUAAAUGGGUGGUAAAUUCCAUCUAAAGCUAAAUACUGGCGAGAGACCGAUAGCGCA